UGAUUUUUUCAUCACGGCUAAAUGUGGACAUACUGUCCAUUUGUCCCCGUUAGUGGAGUCACGGGGAAAAUUCAAGUGUAGAAUUUGCGGUGUAUCGGACGCAAGUGUUGAUGCCGCUGUCCGUCAAUUUGUGAUAAAACUGUGUACAGAGG